GAUGAACGCUGGCGGCGUGCCUAAUACAUGCAAGUCGAGCGAACAGACGAGGAGCUUGCUCCUCUGACGUUAGCGGCGGACGGGUGAGUAAUACGUGGAUAACCUACCUAUAAGACUGGGAUAACUUCGGGGAACCGGAGCUAAUACCGGAUAAUAUAUUGAACCGCAUGGUUCAAUAGUGAAAGACGGUUUUGCUGUCCCUUAUAGAUGGAUCCGCGCCGCAUUAGCUAGUUGGUAAGGUAACGGCUUACCAAGGCGACGAUGCGUAGCCGACCUGAGAGGGUGAUCGGCCACACUGGAACUGAGACACGGUCCAGACUCCUACGGGAGGCAGCAGUAGGGAAUCUUCCGCAAUGGGCGAAAGCCUGACGGAGCAACGCCGCGUGAGUGAAGAAGGUCUUCGGAUCGUAAAACUCUGUUAGUAGGGAAGAACAAAUGUGUAAGUAACUAUGCACGUCUUGACGGUACCUAAUCAGAAAGCCACGGCUAACUACGUG
rnacentral:rRNA from 1 species